rnacentral:rRNA from 1 species
GCGAACGCUGGCGGCAGGCCUAAUACAUGCAAGUCGAACGGCUUCUUCGGAAGCAGUGGCGGACGGGUGAGUAACGCGUGGGAACGUGCCCUUUGGUACGGAACAACUGAGGGAAACUUCAGCUAAUACCGUAUGAGCCCUUCGGGGGAAAGAUUUAUCGCCAUUGGAGCGGCCCGCGUUCGAUUAGCUAGUUGGUGGGGUAAAGGCCUACCAAGGCAACGAUCUAUAGCUGGUCUGAGAGGAUGAUCAGCCACACUGGGACUGAGACACGGCCCAGACUCCUACGGGAGGCAGCAGUAGGGAAUCUUGCGCAAUGGGCGAAAGCCUGACGCAGCCAUGCCGCGUGAAUGAUGAAGGUCUUAGGAUUGUAAAAUUCUUUCACCGGGGACGAUAAUGACGGUACCCGGAGAAGAAGCACCGGCUAACUCCGUGCCAGCAGCCGCAGUAA